GCUGUGCCCUCUUGGAAAGGCAGCAGUCAAAGCAUCUUAGAAUCCUUGGGAGGACCCCCGUUCAGACCUCCAUUCCUGGAAGGGAGCCGGCCAGAAAGUUGCCAGUGGUUUGGAUGAGAAGUCCUUGCUCAUAAAGGCAGCCCCCGCCAUGGCUUCAUCGGGUUUCUGAUUGGAGUCUCUCAAGGCUGCACUUAACAUUCCUCACUGGAGCUUGGGGUUUAUUUUAGUCAGUUCUGGCUGCGCUAAUAGCAUUCCAUAGACUGGGUGGCUUACAAACAACAGAAAUGUAUGCUCACAGUUCUGGAGGCUGGGAAGUCCAAGAUCAAGGUGCCAGCAGAUUCGGUGUCUGGUGAGACUCCUCUUCCUGGUUCGUAGAUGCCAUGUUCCUGCUGUGUCCUCACAGGAUUCCUUUCCCACAUAGAUGAUCACAGAAUAUUUGAUAGAGGUGGAGAAAAUCUGAUAAGGAGUCAGCCAGUUGGGAAGGAAGAGCAGGAGAUGACCCAGAGAUUCAAACUCAGGGCUGGAAAAUGGAUAAUUAGGCUCGGCCUGAGAAAUCUGAAGAGACCAUCAUUCAUAAUGGUGGAGGUGACACAUUAAAUGUCAGAGGGACACCCACUCCAUCCCUUGGUGAAAGCAUUUCCCCUCUGGCAAUCAGGAUUUCUAAACACAUCGGGCCCAGAACUGCAGUCAUGGGGAGGAGAAAUCCCCCAAGUGGAUCCCUGGGAGUGAUGUUUUGUUCCUUCCUUCCUUCAUUCAAGACAUGAUUUGAAGACCUCCUAUGGCUCGCCAUGCCAUCAGCCAUGGAGUUAGAAGCAAGAAUGAAAUGUCUUCUGAUCUCAAGGAGUUCACAUCUGAUGGGAAAGCUUGAGGUGCCAUCAGCUGAUUAUCUGGGUUCUGCCUUCUCUUCCUCCAUGGACUCUAUUAUCAUAUGAGGCUUGGAUGCUAGCGGCCCUGAAGUUAGCUGAUAGCAAUAGGAGGUUCAGAUCCCUUCUAUUUAAAUAAGGGGGCUCAAAACAUUGCAUUUUAAACCAUUAAUGUGAAUUCUGAUCUCAUCUGUCAUUAGCACAUGGGGAAGUCACAGAUAAUCAGUAGUUUAUUAUAAAGUGUGGUGAAGUGUGAGAGCCUACUCUGGGGGUGUAGGAGAGGCAGGGUGCCAAGCCACAGUGUUCAGUAGGUGAGCUGGGGUGGGAAACACUGGUAUCAAUUAUCAACCUGGUACCACUCACUCUCUCCUGAGGUCUCCUCUGCACCACAGAGAAGCCAGGAAAUGCAUCUUCGAACCCCCUUCCCCAUGGAGUUCUGGGCUAUAAUUUUCCAAGGUGCAGCGGGGUGGAGAGAUUUUGAGUUUAUGCACGGAAAAAUUUGUGACCACUAGGUGGCAGUAGCAGGCAUAAAUUCUGCUCCGGCAACACGGGUGUUGAUAGCUCUGCAGUCCAGUUCACCCGGCUCCAAAGCCCACACGCUUAACCAGUGGACGACAUGGUCUUGUUGGAGUCCGUGCAUGGGGCUUCAAGUCAGAGAGCUGUUAUGGAAGGAGAAACCAGCCCAUUCACUGCAGGGUCCGAAUCAGGGAUAACUGUAUAGUGUGUGUGUGUGUGUGUGUGUGGUGAUAAGAGAGAAUCAGGAGGAAGAAGGAGAAGGUGGAGGGGUGGUGGGAGAACCAGCUAGAUGUGCCUGGGGCAAGUGAGAAUUUGAGUUGCUCUCACCGUGGCAAAGAAGAGGAAGAGAAGAGCCUCUUUGCCGGGGGUCGGACCUGAAGCUCCUGGGACACCAGGUGGUUUUUGCCUUGGUGGGUACUUGAUUUCCAAGUUCAGAAGAGAGGUCUGGGCUUACCAUUUGGAAUCAUCAGCAGAGGCGGUGGUUUCUAUCGUGGGAAGAAGUAUGAUGGACUGUGCGGUGGGCGACGGUAGCUUAGGAGGGAGGAUUCAGAAAACUGCCCUAAGCAGUGGGCUUGCCCAGCCAGGAAGCAGCUACAAGGAGUGAAUGAGGUGAGUAUUCCGUGAAGAGAGCGCUGGGCUGGGUCAGAUACUCCAGAAAGGGCCAGCCUUACAACUGCAUCUUUCCCCUGCUUCCAACGUACACACCCAGGUGUGCCAUAGGCAUCUCAGCUCUACCUUGUCGCCAAAGCACACGUGGGAUCUUCCCCCAUCUUGCACCUCCUAGAAUCGUCUGUAUCUCAACACCCUUCCUGAUCCUCAGGCUUUAAAACCUGGGAUCCUCCUGGCCUCUUCUCUUCCAUAUCUUGCAUCUAUUCCAUCAUCAAAUAUGGUGGGCUCAGAGCUAGGCAUAUCAUGAGUCUAACUUCAUCUUGCUACCCCCAUGGGUACCAGCCUGGAUGAAGCACGUUCAUUUCUCACGGAGUAAUGGCACCAGCUUCCCCACUCAUCUCUCUGCUUCCACCCUUGUCUCCUAUUGCUGUAUCACAACAUGACGACAUUACUGCAAAACUGUACAUCUGAGAAUGUGGUUUCUCUGCCCCAAGCCCUUCAGAGGUCGCCCGUCUCACUCAGGGGAAAACCCUUAGUGCUGGGGGUUCGGCCAAGGGCUGGAGGAUGUGGUAGUGUGAGCCAGUCUCUUAGUGGCCUGGAUGCUGAGGAUUUGUUUCAAAUCUCAGUAUCUGCCCAGUUGCUGCGUCUCCCCAUCUGUGCAUUAGUGAAAAUAAUUUAUCAGUGCCGUACCGGUCAUCUGAACAAAAUGAGAUAUAUUGUUUUGAACCAAGACGACACUUAUCUCAGCAGGGACUUGAUGAGGGUCAGGGAAGACGAGUCCCAGCUCGUUGCAUUUUCUGUGGACCGUCCCGUCCGGGUCUCCCUGGCCAUGCUUGCACACUGGUCAGAAACCUUCCUGUAGCCCCCAGGAGAGGGCACUCCCCUCAGAGACUGGUGCCCAAGGGAGGGUGUCUCAAAGGCUGAUAACUUGGGCAACUUCGAUAGUGUCUUUGUUGGGGUUAGUGUGGUCCUUUUGCAGGACAGUUAACCGUUGCUCAAAAGGACCCCUGAUUGGUUGAUCACUGGGGGUUUGAGCCAAUCUCAUUCCAGCUCAGGGGGACCUCUGUGACCUCCUGGCUACAGGGUGGUCUUAUUUACAGCCAGCAAAGGGAAAGAGGUCAGAGCUGCUAUAGGGAGUCAGAAGCACAAGAGCCAGGAAACCAGCUACUCAGCAUCCCAGCUUUCAUUCAACCGCUGGUUGGUGAAUCUUGGCCAAAGAUUUCCCCCUCUUUGGCUUUAGUUUUUUAUCUGUAAAAUCAAGACUUUGGACCACAUCUUUUCUUUAAGCCAGCUCUUUUUAGCUUUAACACCCACUUUUUACUUAUUUAUUUUUAUUUUUAAAAUUAAAACAAAUUGUUGGCGUAUAGUUGACUUACAGUGUAGUGUUAGCUUCGGGUGCGCAGCGAAGUGAGUCAGUUAUACAUGCACAUAUAUCUGUUCCCUUUCAGAUCACUUUUCCAGCUAGGUCACCACAGAGCAGUGAGUAGAUUUGCCUGUGCUGUACAGUAGGUCCCUGUUAGUCAUCCAUCCUGUAUCUGGCUGUAACACUCAAUUUUUUAGAUAGGAUUUUUAUUAAUUUUUAUGAGUUUUGGUUUCCUAGAAAAUUGGGAAAGUAUAUCUCUUCCUGAGAGUUUUUAUGACGAUCAAUUGCAGUCCUAUUUGGAAAUGGACUCUGCAAACUGUAAAGUACUCUGAAAAUGUUAGUUGCCAUUAUCUUUAUGGUCAUGUCAGGAUAGGAGCUUAGUGGAUUACAAAAAGACCAUGUUCAAAAUUAUUAUUUCCAAACAGAAACAGAUUGCAUUUGAGUCACGCCGUCUGUCUUAUCAAAGUUGAGGCAGAUGCACAGGGUCACUCGGAAUGGUCAGGAUGCUUGCUCAAAGAAUGGCGAUUUUAUCUUCUGGGAGCGGGACAGGGUGGUGGCUGACACGCAAUUACUAAUUCAGAGAGGCACAGGGCGUCAUUCUGCAGGGCAUGCUGCCCUCUGGUAACUCAUCAAUAAAAUACUGGGUUCAGUUGUGCAGAGUCCACAGCUAAUCUGAGAGCAACAUUCUCACUUGGAAAUGCUGGUUGGCCUUGGGGCCAGAGUGUCAGAGCAGCCUGUGGGUCUGGAAUAAAUAUGCCAUGGAAGGAGAUAAGUUUUCAACACCGCUUCUUUUCCUGCAUCCAAAGGACAACCCUGAAGUUGGGGCAGCAGUGGUUAUUGUGGCCCUGGGAAAAUUCUACCUGCGGAGGGCGGGGCUCAUGCUUGCCCUGGUCUUGCUGGUUCCCUUCUGCAAGAUGGCCGCCUCCAAGCCGGGAGUGGUCCAGACCCUCCGCCUCAGGGGGGAAUCUCCAAGGGUCCAGUGAAACCACUAGCAGCCCUUGAAGUAGACCCCCAUAUUGGAGUUUUUCCUCAUUAAUCAUUUUUCAUUUUUUUUUUUUUUGUCUUUUUGCCUUUU